GCGGGACACGAUCCCCGGUCUCUGGAAUGAAAGUCCUGUGUUGUUUGACCCAUCCAACACUCGGGCCAACCUCCCUAUGCAGAUUUUGGGGCUUUCA